rnacentral:rRNA from 1 species
GACGAACGCUGGCGGCGUGCUUAACACAUGCAAGUCGAACGGAAAGGCCCUGCUUUUGUGCGGUGCUCGAGUGGCGAACGGGUGAGUAACACGUGAGUAACCUGCCCUUGUCUUUGGGAUAACUUCACGAAACUGGGGCUACUACCGGAUAGGAGCUCCUGCUGCAUGGUGGGGGUUGGAAAGUUUCGGCGGUUGGGGAUGGACUCGCGGCUUAUCAGCUUGUUGGUGGGGUAGUGGCUUACCAAGGCUUUGACGGGUAGCCGGCCUGGGAGGGUGGCCGGCCACAUGGGGACUGAGAUACGGCGCAGACGCCUACGGGAGGCAGCAGGGGGGAAUAUUGCACAAUGGGAGGAAGCCUGAUGCAGCAACGCCGCGUGCGGGAAGACGGCCUUCGGGUUGUAAACCGCUUUCGCCUGUGACGAAGCGUGAGUGACGGUAAUGGGUAAAGAAGCACCGGCUAACUACGUG